rnacentral:rRNA from 1 species
AGAGUUUGAUCCUGGCUCAGGACGAACGCUGGCGGCGUGCUUAACACAUGCAAGUCGAACGAUGAUCCGGUGCUUGCACCGGGGAUUAGUGGCGAACGGGUGAGUAACACGUGAGUAACCUGCCCUGGACUCUGGGAUAACUUCGGGAAAUCGGAGCUAAUACCGGAUAGGACCUUUCCUCGCAUGAGGUUGGGUGGAAAGUUUUUUCGGUUUGGAAUGGACUCGCGGCCUAUCAGCUUGUUGGUGAGGUAAUGGCUCACCAAGGCGUCGACGGGUAGCCGGCCUGAGAGGGUGACCGGCCACACUGGGACUGAGACACGGCCCAGACUCCUACGGGAGGCAGCAGUGGGGAAUAUUGCACAAUGGGCGCAAGCCUGAUGCAGCAACGCCGCGUGCGGGAUGACGGCCUUCGGGUUGUAAACCGCUUUUAGUAAGGAAGAAGGGCAGUCUUCGGGCUGUUUGACGGUACUUGCAGAAAAAGGACCGGCUAACUACGUGCCAGCAGCCGCGGUAAU